UACGAAGGGUGCAAGCGUUACUCGGAAUUACUGGGCGUAAAGCGUGCGUAGGCGGUUUGUUAAGUCCGCUGUGAAAGCCCUGGGCUCAACCUGGGAAUUGCAGUGGAUACUGGCAAGCUAGAGUGCGGUAGAGGAUGGUGGAAUUCCCGGUGUAGCGGUGAAAUGCGUAGAGAUCGGGAGGAACACCCGUGGCGAAGGCGGUUCUCUGGGCCUGUACUGACGCUGAGGAGCGAAAGCGUGGGGAGCGAACAGG
rnacentral:rRNA from 1 species